rnacentral:rRNA from 1 species
ACUCCUACGGGAGGCAGCAGUAGGGAAUCUUCCACAAUGGGCGCAAGCCUGAUGGAGCAACACCGCGUGAGUGAAGAAGGGUUUCGGCUCGUAAAGCUCUGUUGUUAAAGAAGAACACGUAUGAGAGUAACUGUUCAUACGUUGACGGUAUUUAACCAGAAAGUCACGGCUAACUACGCGCCAGCAGCCGCGGUAAUACGUAGGUGGCAAGCGUUAUCCGGAUUUAUUGGGCGUAAAGAGAGUGCAGGCGGUUUUCUAAGUCUGAUGUGAAAGCCUUCGGCUUAACCGGAGAAGUGCAUCGGAAACUGGAUAACUUGAGUGCAGAAGAGGGUAGUGGAACUCCAUGUGUAGCGGUGGAAUGCGUAGAUAUAUGGAAGAACACCAGUGGCGAAGGCGGCUACCUGGUCUGCAACUGACGCUGAGACUCGAAAGCAUGGGGUAGCGAACAGGAUUAGAUACCCUGGUAGGAUAGCG